GAGGAAGUAAAAAAGCAGUCAGCAAUCCAGCUUUCAGCUUCAUUUGUUUAUGCCCUUAAACCUGACCAUUCUACUACCCUUUUUCCACAGCUGCACAACUGAUUUGCCAACAGUAAAAUGACUAAAAGCUCUCUUCUGUACCAGACAGGUCAAACUGUAGGAAGCACACACCACUAAUCACAAGCCAUGAAGUAGCAAACAAGAUUUUCAAUGGCUUUCCCAUGGGUUCAUAUUUACUAUAUCAAUGAAAUUUUGAUUUGUCCUACACAAAGGUGUAUCACCAUACAACAGGAAGAAGUAUCAGCCAUAAUCUGACCAUUAUAUCAUAGUAUUUUUCCCAAUACUGGCUGUAGAUUUCUUUAAUUUGUGCACAAGAGCCGAAACUCAUUUUAACACAAUUCCUCCCCAAACCUCUAGAGAGGAAAACCAGAUUUUUUCCAGUAACACUUUCAAGUUUAUUUUUUCAGGAACCCAAAAUGUAAUUCUUGGUGAGGAGAGCCUAUGCUACAUUUUUUAUAAGAUGUGAGCUUUGGGAUAGAUGUUACUUAAAAUUUCUCAAUGAGUAUCAUUGUGCCACCUCACUCUGUGCAAAGAAAUUACAUUUCAUGUGGUGCAUACAUGACUUCAUCUCUAAAAAUUCCAGUUAGUUUUCUGACCCUACAAGAGGAAUCUUUAAAAAAAAAAAACAGUUUAAGCAACUUUUAGUUUGGGUACAUGUGAUCUCAACCUAAAAGCACCUUAUUUCAAAACUGAUUUUGUGUCUAUAUUAUGAACAUUUAACAAAAAAAGAGGGAAAACCAAACGCAGAACAACUCCCAGGCCGCUCAUUUUUGCAAGCCGUAGAGAAGCGGCAGCCCAAGCUGUGGAAUCUGUUUCUCAAAAAUUGAGGAAGUCGUCACUGGCUUUUCUUCCCACUUGCCUUACGCGUUAAAGCAAUCAACAACUCUUCACAAACUUUUAAGAAAUGCAUACACCCAUUGACUUCGGCUAAACAAAGAUAAGCUGGGGAGGACGAGAAAAACGUAGCCACAUGAGUGGGCUGAGAGAUAAGAAAAGCAAACUGUAGAAAAAAGCGAGCUAAGUAACCAGGGCAGAAACCGGGGAGGCGGGAGGGGGCGGGGUGACUUCGCCUGUAAACGGUAUUUUGCAAAAAGCCUGAAAGCCAGAACCUCCCUCCCACCCCUACCUUCCCGUCGCCCAUCACGCACGGCUCGAGUUCCCUUGCCAGCAAGCCGAGACCGUAAAAGCGUGAGUGAAGCAGCGGGCGCACCAAACUUGCGGGAAAUUCGUGGCAACAGCCAUCUUUCUCCACCCCGAACAAAACGUGGUGUGCAGCCGAGUGAACUUUGCAUCUUGGAACUACCCUCAGCUUUGCCUGCCCAGGAGAAAGUUGUUUCUAGCAUCAAGUUAAAUAUUAUUUUGCCAUACUUGCUUUGGCCAACAAUGUACAAAUGAUGCUGCCUGAACUGUGAAAUGGAGCCUCUAGAGCA